UACGAAGGGGGCGAGCGUUGUUCGGAUUUACUGGGCGUAAAGGGCGCGUAGGCGGCCUUGUCAGUCAGGCGUGAAAGCCCCGGGCUCAACCUGGGAACGGCGCGCGAGACGGGGGGGCUGGAGUUCGGGAGAGGAGCGUGGAAUUCCCAGUGUAGAGGUGAAAUUCGUAGAUAUUGGGAAGAACACCGGUGGCGAAGGCGGCGCUCUGGACCGAGACUGACGCUGAGGCGCGAAAGCGUGGGGAGCAAACAGG
rnacentral:rRNA from 1 species